rnacentral:rRNA from 1 species
UACGUAGGGGGCGAGCGUUGUCCGGAAUUACUGGGCGUAAAGGGCGUGUAGGCGGUCUGAUAAGUCAGAUGUGAAAACCCUGGGCUUAACCUAGGGAUUGCAUUUGAAACUGUUGGGCUUGAGGGCAGGAGAGGGAAGCGGAAUUCCCAGUGUAGCGGUGAAAUGCGUAGAUAUUGGGAGGAACACCAGUGGCGAAGGCGGCUUCCUGGACUGCACCUGACGCUGAGGCGCGAAAGCUAGGGGAGCGAACGGG